rnacentral:lncRNA from 1 species
CUAAACAGUUAACUUUGGAAUGUUGUAGUGUCAAUCCUUGAUGACAAAUUCUAUAUGAAACACCUUAAUGAAAGCAGGAUGCAAAAAUCACUUAUGCCAGAAUUAACUUCUAAUUUUGUAAUAUCCCUGAGAUCUCCUUGGUAGAUGUCCUUAAUCACAAAGCUACCCAAUUAUAGCAGCUGAAAGACAGUAUGGCAUUUCCACUACUUCUU